GAAGUUAAUUAAUAUUGUUUAGAGCUUUACUAUUCGUAACAUUGUUACCGAAAAUGACGAUAAAAGCGAGCAUAAAGAGCGAAAAUAUAAGAGAGAACAUUCUAGGAGGAUCCACCUCGCGGGGGACGCAGCCACCACUUUCCACCACAAAAAAAUCGAGAUAUUUACAUUAUAUUAGCCUCCAAACAACUCUUCAUGUCAUAAUUAAUCGAUAAAAUUAACCUUCUCACUGCCGAAUGCGUUCGGCGGCCGAAUAAACUUCAUCAUUAUCAGUCGGCGUAAUUUUCGCGCCAAGCUUCUGCCGGGCAUGCGUGGCAACAGCGCUCAUCACCUGUUAGCAUUACAAUGGCGAGCACGCUGGCCUGUGGUUUGUUUAUCUUCGUUGUGAAUUUGGUUUUGUCGAUUUUAUGCUAAUUCAGCAACGAUAUACGUCUCGGCCUAAGUCCGCAAUCCUCAUUUAGAAGAACAGCUUAUGGCACAUUAUUUGGAAGAGUGGAAGCGUUGCACCAAAGAGCUGGAUAUAUGUUGGGUUCAAGAGAAAAAAUAUCUGCUGUCCUUUUUCAAGAGGUGAGCAAGAGUUUUUGGCAAACCAGCGUGGCAGGACAAGCGAGCGGUGCCUGCUGGUGGCGUCGCUGCGGCGCACUCAAUGUUCUUCCUGAAGCUGCACAGUCUGUCGGGCGAGCAGUUCCAGGCCUGGUCAAAGAGGUGCUGUUCACCUACAACCCUAAUGGCGCUCAAAUCAUCGCUCGGAACGCGUUCUACACUCAGGCCAACGACCUAUGGUGGUCAGAAUGACGAUUUUGAAACCAGCAGUGGGCGGCUGGCUUGAUGGUUUCGUCCUCUUUUGGAUUGACGUCGUCUACUCGCUUUAGCACGACAGACGCAUCACAGCGCUGACCUGCGAGUCCAGUUCACUACUUCCUCUCUUAGUCAGGGCCAUUCCGAGUUCCAGGCUACCGGAGAGGAGACGAGGAGCAGCUGGCCGACGUGGACAUUGACGGCCGGCUCGUAAUCAUGGUUCGCACCUAAGGCCAGGAGCUGCGCAUCUACAAGCAGCGCGGGCACUGCGAGCACAUCAAGGAGUGUCAUUUGCUCAAGCGCAUGACGCUCGUAAACCCCAUGUACAAGCUGUUUUUUACUUCGACGUCACUGCCGAUGGCGUCAGUGAGCUCACCCUUAAACGGGCUCACAUGCUCACAUCAUAUUAUGCAGCGCACAAUGUGGAUCAGAUUUUAAUAAAGACUUGAAUUUGUGAAAAGUGAUGAAAUAAAAUGAAAAUGUAAAAUUGUUGCCCAGUUUACUACUAUUAAUCAUCUGUUGUAGUAAAAAUGAUUUUAAAUUUUCUGACAAUGUUUGAGGUUUGGAAACAGGUAAUGAAUUUGUCUUUUAGGAAUUGCAGAAAAUUUUGUUUAUAUAUGCGCUAAUCCUGGCACAACAUUUAGAAUUUAAUAAUCAAAUAAACUUUGGAUCAUUCAAUUCUUCAGUGUUUUGUAUUUUAACUAGUUUACAAGACGUUUAAAUUUUGAUUUAGUGCAAUAGAAGCUUUUACUUGUUUUAUUUUUUAAAUGGUAUUCUAUUGAUUCAAAUCUGUUUUUAAAGUAAAUCCCGACAUCUUUUGUUUACUUUUAAAUUUCCCUUCAUGCACGAAAUAAAUUAUGUCACAAAUGUAUAGCAAAUUUCUAAAUAUUAAUGACUCAUUCACUUCACCAUGCUCCUCUUCACGUUCCUCGGUAGAGCGGAUUGCAAGUAGACAAGAAAUUGAAACAGGAAUUCCUGCUUUUUCCUGGAAUACCGGCAGGACAAAAAAAUAUUUUCAGGAUCAGGACAUGAGGGGAAUUUAGUUUCUGAACAAUUGCAAUCUUGGUCUAUAUUAAUCACGUUUUUGUCAAAAUUUAUAACUGGAGACAUGAUAAUGAUAAAAUUGACUAAAUACUGUUUUGCGACGUUCACAAUAUUCCACAACAAUCUUAUUAUAAAUAUAAACUGUAUAUAUAAAUAAUUAAUAUAAAUAAAUAAUAAUAUAAUAUUAUAAAUAUAACCUGUAGUAGCAGUUAUUAUAUAUUUACAAAGUGCUAUAAUAAGACCAUUUUGAAAUCUAUGAAAUUGAAAUAAAAUAAUUUAAUACAUAAAUAAAAAUAAUUAUAGGAAAAACAGGAACAUAUAUAAUAUGCUCUGACGGAACAGGACAGGCCAAGAAAAUCAAAUUUACGAACAAAAACAGGGCAGGAAAAUUGUUUCCGGGAAAAAGGACAGGGCAAGCCCGGAACAACCUUUCUUAAAUACGUGCUCUAUUCCUCAGCCUCCUCCUCGUCGCUUUAUUCCGCAUCAUCCUCGGUUUUUACACAAGACGGGAAACACCUUUUACCAAUUAUCACAAGACAUAAAAUCAAAGAUAAAACCCAUAACACCAUAAUAUCUGAUCAGCUUCUAUUUAUUGUUUGUGUUUGUCACUUUGUGGGCGAGGUGAUUGCGAUCAGAUGUUAGGUGAGGAGGGGAGCGAUGUUGCCAAUGAGCCUACUCGACUGGCUGAAGACGUUGCGCGGCAAAUUUAAAACACCGCACUGAAUGG